GAUGAACGCUGGCGGCGUGCCUAAUACAUGCAAGUCGAGCGAACAGACGAGGAGCUUGCUCCUCUGAUGUUAGCGGCGGACGGGUGAGUAACACGUGGAUAACCUACCUAUAAGACUGGGAUAACUUCGGGAAACCGGAGCUAAUACCGGAUAACAUGUUGAACCGCAUGGUUCAACAGUGAAAGACGGUCUUGCUGUCACUUAUAGAUGGAUCCGCGCCGCAUUAGCUAGUUGGUAAGGUAACGGCUUACCAAGGCAACGAUGCGUAGCCGACCUGAGAGGGUGAUCGGCCACACUGGAACUGAGACACGGUCCAGACUCCUACGGGAGGCAGCAGUAGGGAAUCAUCCGCAAUGGGCGAAAGCCUGACGGAGCAACGCCGCGUGAGUGAAGAAGGUCUUCGGAUCGUAAAACUCUGUUAUUAGGGAAGAACAAAUGUGUAAGUAACUAUGCACGUCUUGACGGUACCUAAUCAGAAAGCCACGGCUAACUACGUG
rnacentral:rRNA from 1 species